GAAACUUUACUUUUCCCCCUUUCUCCCAAUUUCUCCCGCACUACAACCUAGUUUCAUGGUUCUCGCAUUCUUGGUGUCAUUGAUUAUCAAAAACCUGGUAAGUAAUGUUCAAAAUCCUCGUGUUUUUAUUGGUGAGAUAAACCCUAAUGUGCAUUGAACACCUUCCAAAUCGGGUUUCAGUUCGAAGUGGGAAUUUUGAAGUGGAAGUGAAAGUGGAGGAAUAUGUAGUACAUGGUUGUGAGGAGGCAAAGAACAAGUGGUCUUGUAGUUUGGGUGAAGGUCAAACUCUUUACCUUCAUUGCUCUAAAGGUCACUGUAUUGCUAAAUUCUAGUGGGUUGAACUGAGGCUUCUAGCAUGGAGGUCAAAGAUCUAGUUGAAUCCUAAAGGUUAUGUGUUUUUUAUUUUUACUUUGAUAAUCUUUUCUUUUUCUUAUAAAUAUCCUUUACACCAGAGAUGAAGUAAAUAUAUUUUAGUAAGAGAAUUUGGUAUAUAAUUCCCUGAAUGAAAAGAACCUCUCAAUGAUGUUUAUUAUUUCUCAUUACAGAUAACUCUAAAAUUGAUGAUGUUUAUUCUUUCUCAUUACAGACAUCUCUGAAAUUGAUUGCUUAUGGUGAUGUUGAUUGACUUGAGUUUCUUAAUAUAGUCGACAGUCUAUCACUUGGUUAAUGCUUAUUCCUUGGCUUCUUCUUGAUCUCAAGAAAUAUUAAGAAGCAAGCAUCAAUUUAUAAAUGCUAUCGAACUAAAAAUAAAAAUAGAUGUCUUUUUUAUGGUCAGGAAAAUCUAGACAAUAGUUAAAAAAUCGUUGUCUAAUCUUUAUGCCAUAAUUUUUAUAGUUUUGACCGCCAUUUAUUUGCUGUGAAUGAAACCGUGAUGAAGCAUAUCUUCUCAACAAAAAGAAUUCAGCAAAAACAUGAAUGUCACAAAACACCGUGUGGAAGUCACAAGAAUUGUAGGAAAACAAAACCAUAAUGCAAACAUACAUAGAUUUAAGAAGUGAGGAAAGGGUGACAUAUAUCCAAAUUGUAACGACAAUGAAUGAAUUGUUAUAUUAUUAAUGUGAGGUGAUGAAGAGGUAGAUAAAAGGCAUGAGAAGUAGGAAAUGUAGAAUGAGUGAAGAGAUAAUUAAGGGGAAUUUGAAGAUGAAAAUUUGGUGUGAGAGUGUGUGAGUCUGGUUGCAUAGUAGUUAGCAAUGAAAUCAGAGGCUUUUCUGUCAAUCCCAGGCUCUGCAACCCAUCGUCCUCUGUCUUCAUCACUUGCAAACAUUCUUCUUUCAUUUCCUCCUUCCCAGUAUUCGUCAUAAUUAUCUCCACAUGAGAAACAAGCCUUCAACACAGUCCCAAAACAGCAACUCGAUGACCUCUUCGCUCCCAUUCUCUUCUCUUCUUUCAAUGAUCUGUGCCAAUUCUUCUUCCAUACUUUACCAUUUAUACACUCACCACAUUAUCUCUUCUUUUAGGAAAAUAUAAGAAAAAUUUAAAGCUAGUACAGAUUCCCUCAAAUCAUCUUCUCAUCCUCUACUUUUUCUUUCUCACGCAAUACUUCUCCCCUACCCCUACCUGCAUCAUACAUGCUUUCUCAUUCUCAUCACUUACUUUGCCUAGAUUCCUUCUUUUUCCUUGUACACAUAAUGCCUACAGAAAUUAUAAUAAGCUUAUGCUUCUAAUUUUGCUCCAUCUUUUUGUAUGACUUUUCUUUGUCUUCUGAUAAGAUGUAAGAUAUUGAUCUGGAAGUUGUGCUAAAGCAAAGUAAUGUACUUUGAAUGGAAUUUAAUCGAACUAUCUUAUAACUUUAGAGCAUCUUUGAUUGGACAAAACAUACAUGUACAUUUGCUGUCUAACUAGACUUCAAACUUUAUUCUGACAAUUAGAAAUAAAUUUUCCAUUAUUAUGAAUAACAAUCACAUCUCAUUAUCUCAUUAUUAAGUAAAAGGUUGUUUCUCAUCUCAUUGCUCUAAAUAGAAAGUUACAUCUCAGUUUUUUUAAGAAAAUAUCAACUUAACAAGAAAAUAACACAUUCACGAAAUAUUACUGAUACCUGUCAUUAAUUCAUCUCUAAUUUUAGUAGCCUGCCCAAUAUUAAAAUUUAAUUUAGAUUUCAAUUCAUAAAUCAAUUAUAUAUUCUAACAGAGAGUGCCCUCAAGCUGUCUUACCUUUCUCAGAACUUAAUUCUUAAGGGAUCCUAAAGCAAGAGCAAAGUAGGUCUGUACAUAUGGUACAAUUCAAUUUCCAUCAAAUACAAAAGCAAAACUUUUCUUUUUAUAUAUUCUUCUUUUCUCCUUAAGGUCUUUCUAGGUUAUAAUAUCAUUAAUUUGUUUCAUCACUUUCUUUUGGCCCUUUAUUAAUUUUAGCAUGAGAAGUGCCAUAGAUACUUUGAUACAGCAACAAAAGCUAAUUUUGUUGAUUUAUAGUAUAUAUAAUUAGCUUGUGUAAUAUGUUAUACAUUUUCUAAGAUGUACCUUCCCCAUCAUAAUCUGUCAAAAGGAAACUCAAGAUUUGGUAA
rnacentral:lncRNA from 1 species